rnacentral:rRNA from 1 species
GCAGUUCGAGCGGAUGAGUUGGAGCUUGCUCCCAUGAUUCAGCGGCGGACGGGUGAGUAAUGCCUAGGAAUCUGCCUGGUAGUGGGGGACAACGUUUCGAAAGGAACGCUAAUACCGCAUACGUCCUACGGGAGAAAGCAGGGGACCUUCGGGCCUUGCGCUAUCAGAUGAGCCUAGGUCGGAUUAGCUAGUUGGUGAGGUAAUGGCUCACCAAGGCGACGAUCCGUAACUGGUCUGAGAGGAUGAUCAGUCACACUGGAACUGAGACACGGUCCAGACUCCUACGGGAGGCAGCAGUGGGGAAUAUUGGACAAUGGGCGAAAGCCUGAUCCAGCCAUGCCGCGUGUGUGAAGAAGGUCUUCGGAUUGUAAAGCACUUUAAGUUGGGAGGAAGGGCAUUAACCUAAUACGUUAGUGUUUUGACGUUACCGACAGAAUAAGCACCGGCUAACUUCGUGCCAGCAGCCGCGGUAAUACGAAGGGUGCAAGCGUUAAUCGGAAUUACUGGGCGUAAAGCGCGCGUAGGUGGUUUGUUAAGUUGGAUGUGAAAGCCCCGGGCUCAACCUGGGAACUGCAUCCAAAACUGGCAAGCUAGAGUAUGGCAGAGGGUGGUGGAAUUUCCUGUGUAGCGGUGAAAUGCGUAGAUAUAGGAAGGAACACCAGUGGCGAAGGCGACCACCUGGGCUAAUACUGACACUGAG